ACAGAGUGGGAAUAAAGAGCCAACAUAAUAUGGAUGGGGAACGCCUAUAAAUCAACAUUCUUCAGUUGCUAAAGAGCUUGAUUUUCAUUAAAAAUGAUAUGGUUCCCUACCAUUCUCCCUACCAAAAAUCGGCUCUUUGUCAAAUGAUGUU
rnacentral:sRNA from 1 species